rnacentral:rRNA from 1 species
GGCAGCACGAGAGCUUGCCCUUGGUGGCGAGUGGCGAACGGGUGAGUAAUAUAUCGGAACGUAUCCAAUAAUGGGGGAUAACUAAUCGAAAGGUUGGCUAAUACCGCAUACGCCCUACGGGGGAAAGCAGGGGAUCUUCGGACCUUGCGUUAAUGGAGCGGCUGAUAUCUGAUUAGCUAGUAGGUGAGGUAAAGGCUCACCUAGGCUUCGAUCAGUAGCUGGUCUGAGAGGACGACCAGCCACACUGGAACUGAGACACGGUCCAGACUCCUACGGGAGGCAGCAGUGGGGAAUUUUGGACAAUGGGGGCAACCCUGAUCCAGCCAUUCCGCGUGAGUGAAGAAGGCCUUCGGGUUGUAAAGCUCUUUCGCAAGGGAAGAAACGUUACGAGCGAAUAACUCGUGAUAAUGACGGUACCUUGAUAAGAAGCACCGGCUAAC